rnacentral:rRNA from 1 species
GACGAACGCUGGCGGCGUGCUUAACACAUGCAAGUCGAACGGAAAGGCCCUGCUUGUGUCGGAUGCUCGAGUGGCGAACGGGUGAGUAACACGUGAGUAACCUGCCCUUGACUUUGGGAGAACUACAGGAAACUGGGGCUAAUACCGGAUAGGAGCACCUGCUGCAUGGUGGGCGUUGGAAGGUUUCGUAGGUUGGGGAUGGACUCGCGGCUUAUCAGCUUGUUGGUGGGGUAGUGGCUUACCAAGGCUUUGACGGGUAGCCGGCCUGAGAGGGUGACCGGCCCCAUUGGGACUGAGCUACGGCCCAGACUCCUACGGGAGGCAGCAGUGGGGAAUAUUGCACAAUGGGCGGAAGCCUGAUGCAGUAACGCAGCGCGCGGGAUGACGGCCUUCGGGUUGUAUAGCGCUUUCGCCUGUGACGAAGCGUGAGUGACGGUAAUGGGUAAAGAAGCACCGGCUAACUACGUG